CUUCAACGAGCCGAGCCAGAGAGGCUGUUCGCGGUCCUGUCCAUAGGCGGCGAGCAGAGCCUGGGCCUC
rnacentral:antisense_RNA from 1 species